AACGAACGCUGGCGGCAGGCCUAACACAUGCAAGUCGAACGGACCCUUCGGGGUCAGUGGCAGACGGGUGAGUAACGCGUGGGAAUCUACCCGGUUCUUCGGAAUAACCCAGGGAAACUUGGGCUAAUACCGGAUACGCCCUUAGGGGGAAAGAUUUAUCGGAAUUGGAUGAGCCCGCGUCGGAUUAGCUAGUUGGUGGGGUAAUGGCCUACCAAGGCGACGAUCCGUAGCUGGUCUGAGAGGAUGAUCAGCCACACUGGGACUGAGACACGGCCCAG
rnacentral:rRNA from 1 species